rnacentral:rRNA from 1 species
AGCAGCCGCGGUAAUUCGAGCUCCAAUAGCGUAUAUUAAAGUUGUUGCAGUUAAAAAGCUCAUAGUUGAAUUUUAGGCCUGGCCGGACGGUCCGUCUCUGGCGAGUACUGUUCUGUCGUCGGGUCUAUCCUUCUGGUGAGCCCGUAUGUUCUUAAUUGGGCGUAUCGGGGAACCAGGACCAUUACCUUGAAAAAUUAGAGUGUUUAAAGCAGGCUUUUGCUUGAAUAGAUUAGCAUGGAAUAAUAGAAUAGGACGUUGUGGUUCUAUUUUGUUGGUUCUAGGACCACCGUAAUGAUUAAUAGGGAUAGUUGGGGGCAUUAGUAUUCAAUUGUCAGAGGUGAAAUUCUUGGAUUUAUUGAAGACUAACUACUGCGAAAGCAUUUGCCAAGGAUGUUUUCAUUAAUCAAGAACGAAA